AGGUUUACUUAAAAUUACAUCCCUGGUCCUUCUUCUUUCUGUAUUGCAUCGUGGUAAAUUCACAUUUCUCAGAAAUUGACAACAAAACAGAACGAAGAUAUGUAGAGGCAAAAAAGAAGGCGCAGUUGGAAAAUGAAGUGAUUAGUACGAAGUAGCAGCGCAGGCACAUUUGGAAAAUUAUGCCGAUAAGCAAGAUAGAAUUUAGGAAAAAAUGUGGUUAAUCGAGUGGCGUUAGUUAAAAUGUGCUCCAAACAUUUGGCGAACUUUUUUUCGCCUUCUCAACGUGCUAAGUUACAAGUUAAGAUGACUGCCACCACGACCGGUAGGAAGCCCGAAGCAAAGGGCAAACAACCUUCCAGGAAGCUGCCAGCUGUCCCCGAGUCGUACCUGAAGUUCAGCAAGAAGCAGGUCAGCAAACGUGCUACCCUGAUCAAGCGUAAACUAAAGCGCUCUGCUGUGAUUGCACUCCGCAAACGUCAAAACUUAUUGCAUCUGAGAAAUAUCAAGCAAAAUAUCUCCGU